UGCAUGUCUCAGUGCAAGCCACAUUAAGGUGAAACCGCGAAUGGCUCAUUAAAUCAGUUAUGGUUCCUUGGAACAUACCCACGUUACUUGGAUAACUGUGGUAAUUCUAGAGCUAAUACAUGCAAACAGAGCCCUGACCAGAUGGAAAGGGCGCUUUUAUUAGAUCAAAACUAAUCGGUCGGCUCGUCCGGUCCGUUUACCUUGGUGACUCUGAAUAACUUUUUUCUGAUCGCACGGUCUUAGUACCGGCGACGCAUCUUUCAAAUGUCUGCCUUAUCAACUUACGAUGGUAGGUUCUGCGCCUACCAUGGUUGUAACGGGUAACGGGGAAUCAGGGUUCGAUUCCGGAGAGGGAGCCUGAGAAACGGCUACCACAUCCAAGGAAGGCAGCAGGCGCGCAAAUUACCCACUCCCGGCACGGGGAGGUAGUGACGAAAAAUAACGAUACGGGACUCAUCCGAGGCCCCGUAAUCGGAAUGAGGACACUUUAAAUCCUUUAACGAGUAUCC
rnacentral:rRNA from 1 species